ACACUUACUUGGCAAAAACAUGCAAGUUUUUCCAAGCUCCCCGUAUGUGAUCCUAUCUUAAAUGGUGCUGGAGUGUUUGCUGCCAGUCCUCUGUCCUGCUCGCAGCUGCGCCACUGGAGGUCUAUUUGCUUUCAACCCAACUGUGCACCCGCCAGAAUAACGACCGCUCUGACUCUGGCUGGAAGAUUGUUGACCCCACCGUUUAAAGAGGUUUCUCUUCCUGCAGGACUCUCUGAUGUAGCAUCUAAGCACUUGAUGGCCACGGUAGCAUUUUGCUGGUCACUUCUUAGAAACCUGCAGAGGGGACCACGGUAUCUCCAUCACGGGAGAUACCCCAACUGUCCCACAUAUCUCAGAGGGACAGGUAAUUUGAGCAGAACACAACAUGCUGAAUUUUGCCUUCAGCCACAUUCUGUAAAGCAAAAUGUUUACUCAAAGCUAGCGAAGGAAGGACAAGCUACCAGCGCAUCACAGCUACAAUCAGGUUAUUUUUCUCCCUUUCUUUUGCAGCGGCUGUGCUGACCCCAGCACUUCUCUCAGGAGCUUUGGUUUGCGCAGUCAGCCCGUCCUGGACAUGGUUGGAGCCCAUUGCUUUGGAAGCGAGUUUUUCAGCCCUCGGUCUUCUGGAAUUACCGGAACAGCAGCUCUGAUUGCAGCUGAGUAACAGGUACUCUGAGCAGUCUGAUCAGGCUGGGUCUAUUGCCUCAGGAUCACUGACUUUGGGGAUAAAAUCUUUAGGCCGGAGUACUUCCUGGAGCUGC